rnacentral:tRNA from 1 species
UAUCUCAGUUGGUAAAGAAUCUGCCUGCAAUGCAGGAGACCUGGGUUUGAUUCCUGG